UACGAGCUGUGCUCCCCCAGCUGAACUGUAUCUGUGUUUUAACAGUGGGAGAAAAGACAUUAUAUGGCAUCGCGCUCCUCCCGCAACCCUGCCAGCCUCAUCUGUCAGCCAUUACUUAAUCAUGGCCGAUAACACAGAGCACAGAGAGCUGGCACAGCGCGUGGGACCAGAAGACAGUUUCACCUCUGAGAGCAAGAGGAGGGCAAGGACUCAGGGACCUCUGAUUCAGCGAUCUACAGCUGGGUUGCUUCACUCACCAGCACCCACUCAGGACUGGCAGGCAGAAACCUCGAGAUGACCCAACCCACUGCUUUAAUCUAAACAGGGAGGUUUCAGAGACAGAAGCCAAAACAACACAUGUUAUCAACAUGGGAACAGCUGGUAAGAGUGGCGUCAUGGGGCAAAAGAAUGUCAAGAGUCAUAGAUCUUUUCUAUCCAACAGGCUAAAACACCCAAUCAGAUUUCUUCAUCCUAGUUUCCUUGAUUUAUACUGAAUAUCCAACUCCAACCAAGUUUAUAAGAUGCUUUGAAAUAAGAACAAUGACAAUGCACAUACAGUAUAUGAAGAUGAGGAUGCAGUUCAAUAUAUUGACCUAACAAGUGAAGUUGAUUUUGCCAUAUUAUUCAUUCAUGGAUGCAGUUGACUUUAUAAUGUGGAAAUAAUUUCUGUCUAUCCAGUUUUUCACAGGCGUUUUGACGCAAGAUCCACAUUGAACUUCCAAAUGGCUAAAACUAAGCACAUUCUGACCUAAACGUGUAAGUAUGAACUUGCCAUAAAGUGUUAAAUAAACAGCAGGUUGAGCGGCAUGUACAACAGUCUCCAACACAGUUUGCUUUUCAAGUCAACACCGCUCAGAUAGAAUAUAACAAGUGACAUAAGGAAAAAAAUGGACUAUCCAGUCAAUUUUUCCAACUCUAAAGAUUCCACCGAGACAUUUCUCAAUGAGCUUGUUAAACAUCCUGCAAUGAGCGCUAUAAUGAACACAGCCAAAAAUGAAGAGUAGUCAUAUAAACAUAAGAAUAAAGCAAAUUCUUGAUGGCACAACUUGGAAAAACUCAAACAGCAGAUCAGUUACAAGUCAUAAAGUAGUGACCUGUGACACGGGGCAGCCAAGUCAAACUUCCUCUUCCUGCUAAAUGUUACGCAGCUGCUUUUCUUUUUACAAACAGCAACGUAUGGAAAAGCUCAGAGAAGAGAAAGAUCUGAACCUUUCCAUUUUUUUCUAGGAAAAAGAAAUGUACAAGGAACUGAUGCAAAGGAAUCUUACACUUAAUACACAUUUUCAAAGUGGUAUCCAGUUAUGUUUUUAGCCUUUAUGUGGAGAUUACCUUGUUUACCUUAUAAAUUGUUUUUCUCUCUUUC